UACGGAGGGUGCGAGCGUUGUCCGGAAUCACUGGGCGUAAAGGGCGCGUAGGCGGCUCGUGAAGUCAGUGGUGAAAGCCCAGGGCUCAACUCCGGGUCUGCCGCGGAUACUGCGAGGCUUGAGUGCUGUAGAGGGGGGUAGAAUGCCGGGUGUAGCGGUGGAAUGCGUAGAGAUCCGGCAGAAGACCGGUGGCGAAGGCGGCCCCCUGGGCAGUAACUGACACUGAGGCGCGACAGCGUGGGGAGCAAACAGG
rnacentral:rRNA from 1 species